rnacentral:rRNA from 1 species
AACGAACGCUGGCGGCAUGCCUAACACAUGCAAGUCGAACGAGACCUUCGGGUCUAGUGGCGCACGGGUGCGUAACGCGUGGGAACCUGCCCUUAGGUUCGGAAUAACUCCCCGAAAGGGGUGCUAAUACCGGAUAAUGUCUUCGGACCAAAGUUUUAUCGCCUUUGGAUGGGCCCGCGUUGGAUUAGCUAGUUGGUAGGGUAAAAGCCUACCAAGGCGACGAUCCAUAGCUAGUCUGAGAGGAUGAUCAGCCACACUGGGACUGAGACACGGCCCAGACUCCUACGGGAGGCAGCAGUGGGGAAUAUUGGACAAUGGGCGAAAGCCUGAUCCAGCAAUGCCGCGUGAGUGAUGAAGGCCUUAGGGUUGUAAAGCUCUUUUACCCGGGAUGAUAAUGACAGUACCGGGAGAAUAAGCUCCGGCUAACUCCGUG